UACAGAGGGUGCAAGCGUUGUCCGGAAUUAUUGGGCGUAAAGAGCUCGUAGGCGGUCUGUCGCGUCGGCUGUGAAAACUCGGGGCUCAACCCCGAGCCUGCAGUCGAUACGGGCAGACUAGAGUUCGGUAGGGGAGACUGGAAUUCUCGGUGUAGCGGUGAAAUGCGUAGAUAUCGAGAGGAACACCUGCGGCGAAGGCGGGUUGCUGGGCCGACACUGACGCUGAUGCGCGAAAGCCAGGGGAGCGAACGGG
rnacentral:rRNA from 1 species